rnacentral:rRNA from 1 species
UACGUAGGGUGCGAGCGUUGUCCGGAAUUAUUGGGCGUAAAGGGCUCGUAGGCGGUUUGUCACGUCGGGAGUGAAAACUCAGGGCUUAACCCUGAGCCUGCUUCCGAUACGGGCUGACUAGAGGUAUGCAGGGGAGAACGGAAUUCCUGGUGUAGCGGUGAAAUGCGCAGAUAUCAGGAGGAACACCGGUGGCGAAGGCAGUUAACUAUUCGACUCCUGACGUUGAGGCACGAAAGCGUGGGGAGCAAGACGG